CGCGCAGGCGGUCUUGUCCGUCAGGUGUGAAAGCUCGGGGCUCAACCCCGGAAGUGCACUUGAAACAGCAAGACUUGAAUACGGGAGAGGAAAGCGGAAUUCCUGGUGUAGAGGUGAAAUUCGUAGAUAUCAGGAGGAACACCGAUGGCGAAGGCAGCUUUCUGGACCGAUAUUGACGCUGAGGCGCGAAGGCGUGGGUAGCGAGCAGGAUUAGAUACCCUGGUAGUCC
rnacentral:rRNA from 1 species